AUCGGUAGCUCAGGACGUUGAAAAUCGAUUCUCGAUUUUCAGAACACAAUGUAUGUCGUUUGUAAUGAAGACAAACGAAACCAGUUCAUUGAGUGGAACAUUUGGAAGAAUCUGCACGCGACAAGGUUUAUCUUCCACAAUUUCACGAAAUUCCAACGUGAGCGACGUGUGUAAUUAUAGAAGUCAAGUACAAGUUCCAAAGUUUGGGAUCAAGCUAAUUCGGUAAAUUGCGAUGUAUAAUUUAUCUCAGAGUAUAAACUGUACUUAGGAAGAAGUUUAACCCUUUAAGUUACAUAGACGCAUGUAUAUAUGGACCUCCAUCGCUUUGGCAAAAUUCCAUCAUAGACUAUGUACCAAUUUGUUACCAAAAAAUAUACUUGUAUCUACUGUAUGCAAUUUCACACAGUAUUUAAAACAAUGUAUUAGCGCAAAACAUAUUUUGGAUUAUGAAAUUUAAAGUAUUCGAUAUUUCUAGAUGGAUUUGCAAUUUUUAUAAAAAUUACACAACUGGUUACGAUGAUGCAACUAACUUUUGUAAAAUAUAUGGCUAAAAUCUUCUUUUCAUUUGCCAUACA